AAAUAUGGACAGGAGAUCACUUGGCUCAUCUGUUGAUGAAGAGCACAGCUAUCUGCAUGAACUAAUGUUAAUUGCAGAAAUCAGUGAACAUCAAUGCCUUAAACACACAUUGUGACCCUGAAAUCUCAUCAUGCUGGAAUUCCAUCUGUUUGAGAGGUU
rnacentral:rRNA from 1 species